rnacentral:rRNA from 1 species
GCGUGAGUGAUGAAGGCCUUCGGGUUGUAAAGCUCUUUCACCCGUGACGAUGAUGACGGUAGCGGGAGAAGAAGCCCCGGCUAACUCCGUGCCAGCAGCCGCGGUAAUACGGAGGGGGCAAGCGUUGUUCGGAAUUACUGGGCGUAAAGGGCGCGUAGGCGGCCUGUUGCGUCAGGUGUGAAAUCCCCGGGCUCAACCUGGGAACGGCACUUGAUACGGGCAGGCUGGAAUCCGGGAGAGGAUGGUGGAAUUCCCAGUGUAGAGGUGAAAUUCGU